CAGUCGCCGCGGUAAUACGUAGGUGGCAAGCGUUAUCCGGAAUUAUUGGGCGUAAAGCGCGCGUAGGCGGUUUUUUAAGUCUGAUGUGAAAGCCCACGGCUCAACCGUGGAGGGUCAUUGGAAACUGGAAAACUUGAGUGCAGAAGAGGAAAGUGGAAUUCCAUGUGUAGCGGUGAAAUGCUCAGAGAUAUGGAGGAACACCAGUGGCGAAGGCGACUUUCUGGUCUGUAACUGACGCUGAUGUGCGAAAGCGUGGGGAUCAAACAGGAUUAGAUACCCGCGUAGUCCCUGUCUCUUAUAC
rnacentral:rRNA from 1 species